rnacentral:rRNA from 1 species
AAUCAAGCGAUAGGUAAGGGCAUUUGGUGAAUGCCUUGGCACUCAGAGGCGAAGAAGGACGUAAUACACUGCGAAAAGUCACGGGGAGUUGUGAAUAAGCAUUGAUCCGUGAAUGUCCGAAUGGGGAAACCCACAGAGCAAUCUGUAUCGUAACAUGAAUACAUAGUGUUGCGAAGCGAACGCAGGGAACUGAAACAUCUAAGUACCUGUAGGAAAGGAAAUCAACCGAGACUCCGAAAGUAGUGGCGAGCGAAAUCGGACCAGCCGAUGGAUUUGAUUGUAAGAACUAGAACAGCGUGGGAAAGCUGACCGAAGAUGGUGAUAGUCCAGUAUAGGUAGAAAGCAAUUAAGUUCUUGAGUAGGGCGGAGCACGAGAAAUUCUGUCUGAAAAUGGGGAGACCACUCUCCAAGGCUAAGUACUACUGAGUGACCGAUAGUGAACAAGUACCGUGAGGGAAAGGUGAAAAGCACCCCUAUAAGGGGAGUGAAAAAGAACCUGAAACCGGAUGCCUACAAGCAGUCGGAGGAGCAUUAGGCUCUGACGGCGUACCUUUUGUAUAAUGGGUCAGCGACUUAAUUUAUGUAGCAAGCUUAAGCCGAUAGGUGUAGGCGCAGCGAAAGCGAGUGUUAAUAGCGCGUUAAGUUACAUGGAUUAGACCCGAAACCGAGUGAUCUAGCCAUGAUCAGGUUGAAGGUUGGGUAACACCAACUGGAGGACCGAACCCACUCCCGUUGAAAAGGUAGGGGAUGAAUUGUGGCUAGGGGUGAAAGGCCAAUCAAACUCGGAAAUAGCUGGUUCUCCGCGAAAACUAUUUAGGUAGUGCGGCAAGCGGACACGUUGAGGGGUAGAGCACUGAAAGAGCUAAGGGGGAGCGAUCCUUACUAAACUUUAUCAAACUCCGAAUACUCAACAGUGAUACUCACCAGACAGACAGUAGGUGCUAAGGUCUAUUGUCGAGAGGGAAAGAGCCCAGACCGCCAAUUAAGGUCCCAAAAUUAUGGCUAAGUGGUAAAGGAAGUGAAUUGUCCAAAACAGUCAGGAGGUUGGCUUAGAAGCAGCCAUCCUUUAAAGAAAGCGUAAUAGCUCACUGA